GAUGGACGCUGGCGGCGUGCCUAAUACAUGCAAGUCGAGCGAACAGAUAAGGAGCUUGCUCCUUUGACGUUAGCGGCGGACGGGUGAGUAACACGUGGGUAACCUACCUAUAAGACUGGGAUAACUUCGGGAAACCGGAGCUAAUACCGGAUAACAUUUGGAACCGCAUGGUUCUAAAGUGAAAGAUGGUUUUGCUAUCACUUAUAGAUGGACCCGCGCCGUAUUAGCUAGUUGGUAAGGUAACGGCUUACCAAGGCAACGAUACGUAGCUGACCUGAGAGGGUGAUCGGCCACACUGGAACUGAGACACGGUCCAGACUCCUACGGGAGGCAGCAGUAGGGAAUCUUCCGCAAUGGGCGAAAGCCUGACGGAGCAACGCCGCGUGAGUGAUGAAGGGUUUCGGCUCGUAAAACUCUGUUAUUAGGGAAGAACAAACGUGUAAGUAACUGUGCACGUCUUGACGGUACCUAAUCAGAAAGCCACGGCUAACUACGUG
rnacentral:rRNA from 1 species